rnacentral:snRNA from 1 species
AGUGAGGUUGUUUGGCUGCAACAUGUGUCACCCCAUUGAUCACCAGGGUUGAAUCAGCUGAUUGGGCUGGCUAUGUGGGUGUCCCCUUCCUCUCUCACACCUCUGUGUGUCUUUCCCAAAGUUUUGCACUGGGUGGAAGAGGAAGAUCUUCCCUGAUAGAACAGGACCAUUUUUUGGUCAAUGGUAUAUAGUAGCCAUGUUUUCAUGAUAGAACCUUCAAACAAGUUCUAAGGGUCCAUUUGUAGGACAAAGUAGGGCAGUCAAGCCUCUAAGACUUCAGACAUAUCCAAAUGAAGUUCUGCAUGUGUCAGUCUGCCUUU